AUGUUCGUCUCCUUCCCGCUGUCCGAGUUCCUCGCAAGACAGGAACUGGUGGCAGGGGCUCUUGCCGAGCUGCAGCUGGUGGCCUCCGGUCCUGGGGUGGGGAAGAGCUCGGAGUCCCUCUCACUCACCUGCGCUGUCUCUGGUGAAUCCAUCACAACUAGUGGCUUUAGAGGGCAUUGGUAUCGGCAGGUCCCAGGCAAGGCACCGGAGUGGCUGGGUCUGAUAUACUGGGAUGGGGAUACGCGCUACGCCCCGUCCCUCCAAGGCCGAACCACCAUCUCUGCAGACACCGCCAGGAACCAGUUCUCCCUGCAGCUCCGCUCGCUGACAGCUGCAGACACCGGCACCUAUUACUGCGCCGGAGACACACAGUGA